UCUACACCAGGAGAGCACUACAUUUAGGAGCUUUAAAUGAACAAGGAAGGAGAAACCCACCGUAAGGCUAUAGUAACGUCAUGAUCAAUCAGGUAACUUCUUUCUUGUAUUUUUUAAGGCUGCACAUUAGGGACAAUGUGCUAUCUAAAGUGUGAGGGUAACAUAGAAAAUUUAUGUGUUUAUUUUAUGCUUUUAUUUUUAAUUUUUCUUGUGUAAAGUGUGCUUAAGCUUGUAAAAAUACAAGUGAUUGGUUCGGGGCAUGUAUUUA
rnacentral:lncRNA from 1 species